CAGGCCUAACACAUGCAAGUCGAACGGUGUCUAGCAAUAGGCAUAGUGGCGCACGGGUGCGUAACACGUAACUAACCUACCCACCAUUGGGGGAUAGCCCGCCGAAAGGCGGAUUAAUACCGCAUGAGAUAAUAAGGUGGCAUCACCUAGUUAUUAAAGAUUUAUCGGGUUUGGAUGGGGUUGCGGGUCAUUAGCUAGUUGGUAAGGUAAUGGCUUACCAAGGCGACGAUGACUAGGGGAGCUGAGAGGCUGGUCCCCCACACGGGCACUGAGAUACGGGCCCGACUCCUACGGGAGGCAGCAGUAGGGAAUAUUGGGCAAUGGGCGAGAGCCUGACCCAGCCAUGCCGCGUGCAGGAAGAAGGCUUUCUGAGUCGUAAACUGCUUUUGAUAGGGAAGAAUGACCAGUACGUGUACUGGGAUGACGGUACCUACAGAAUAAGCACCGUCUAACUCCGUGCCAGCAGCCGCGGUAAU
rnacentral:rRNA from 1 species